UACGUAGGGUGCAAGCGUUGUCCGGAAUUAUUGGGCGUAAAGAGCUUGUAGGCGGUUUGUCGCGUCUGCUGUGAAAUUUCGGGGCUCAACCCCGAACUUGCAGUGGGUACGGGCAGACUAGAGUGUGGUAGGGGAGACUGGAAUUCCUGGUGUAGCGGUGGAAUGCGCAGAUAUCAGGAGGAACACCUAUAGCGAAGGCAGCUUGCUGGGACGUAACUGACGCUAAGGCGCGAAAGCGUGGGGAGCGAACAGG
rnacentral:rRNA from 1 species